rnacentral:sRNA from 12 species
AACGGCCAGACCGAGUAGGGACAUGCCCGAAAGCAGAGCCUGUAGAGGAAGGAAGGCGUGACGUUCGGGCUUGGGCCCGUGAAUCUGCACCCCGCGAGGGAUGGCGGACGCUGCUUGCAUGGCGGCGCGCUUCGGCGUUCAGCGCCGUUUCAUGCCAUCUUCUCAUGCGGAUACCGAACGCUGCGCUGCAAUCCGUGCGGGGUGCCUUUUGAAAUCCGAGGAACG